AGUGAACGCUGGCGGCGUGCUUAACACAUGCAAGUCGAACGAGAACGGGUUAUAGCUUGCUAUAAUUGUCAGCUAAGUGGCGCACGGGUGAGUAAUGUAUAGGUAAUAUGCCUCUUACUAAGGGAUAACAAAUGUAAACGUUUGCUAAUACCUUAUACUCCUUAUUAACAGAUGUUAAUAAGGGAAAGAUUUAUUGGUAAGAGAUUAGCCUGUAUUGUAUUAGUUAGUUGGUGAGGUAAUGGCUUACCAAGACUAUGACACAUAACUGGUUUGAGAGGAUGAUCAGUCACACUGGAACUGAGACACGGUCCAGACUCCUACGGGAGGCAGCAGUGGGGAAUAUUGCACAAUGGACGAAAGUCUGAUGCAGCAACGCCGCGUGGAGGAUGACACAUUUCGGUGCGUAAACUCCUUUUAUAUGAGAAGAUAAUGACGGUAUUAUAUGAAUAAGCACCGGCUAACUCCGUGCCAGCAGCCGCCGUAA
rnacentral:rRNA from 1 species